UUGGAACUGAAUUUUCAGAAAGAAGUUUCUGAAAAAUUGCAGAUUUUUGACGAUGACUUUCCGGCGACUUUCCGGCCAAAUUCCGGCCAAACGGCUGAACGGAAUUGUGAGCUUGAUAGUGCAAUGGAAAGGUGGUAACGAGUACUAUAAAAUGGUAUACUCAUAUGUCAAAAACUGAGUUGAAUUGAAUGAGAAAUAAGGGUGUGAAGUGAGCCACUUGGUCUGAUUUUUUGCGAAAAAUCCUGAACCAAACCGAACCAAACCAAACCAGUCCUGGCGCGGGCUAAUGGGCUUGUGGGCUUGUAGGCUC
rnacentral:lncRNA from 1 species